UACGGGGGGGCAAGCGUUGUUCGGAAUUACUGGGCGUAAAGGGCGCGUAGGCGGCUUGUUAAGUCGGGUGUGAAAACUCUGGGCUCAACCCAGAGCCUGCAUUCGAAACUGAUGAGCUAGAGUUCUGGAGGGGAAAGCGGAAUUCCUGGUGUAGCAGUGAAAUGCGUAGAUAUCAGGAGGAACACCGGUGGCGAAGGCGGCUUUCUGGACAGAAACUGACGCUGAUGCGCGAAAGCUAGGGGAGCAAACAGG
rnacentral:rRNA from 1 species